rnacentral:rRNA from 1 species
UUCCUACGGGAGGCAGCAGUGAGGAAUAUUGGGCAAUGGGCGAAAGCCUGACCCAGCCACGCCGCGUGUGUGAUGAAGGCCUUCGGGUCGUAAAGCACUGUGGGGAGAGACGAAACAGCGCAGGAGGAAAUGCCUGCGCCUUGACGGUACCUCCUUAGCAAGCACCGGCUAACUCUGUGCCAGCAGCCGCGGUAAUACAGAGGGUGCAAACGUUGCUCGGAUUUACUGGGCGUAAAGCGCGUGUAGGCGGACUCGCAAGUCGGUUGUGAAAUCCCUGGGCUCAACCUAGGAACUGCAUCCGAAACUGCUUGUCUUGAGUAAUGGAGAGGGUGGCGGAAUUCCCGGUGUAGAGGUGAAAUUCGUAGAUAUCGGGAGGAACACCAGUGGCGAAGGCGGCCACCUGGACAUUUACUGACGCUGAGACGCGAAAGCGUGGGGAGCAAACAGGAUUAGAUACCCUGGUAGUCCACGCCGUAAACGAUGAGAACUAGGUGCAGCGGAUAUUGACCUCUGCUGUGCCGUAGCUAACGCGUUAAGUUCUCCGCCUGGGGAGUACGGCCGCAAGGCUAAAACUCAAAUGAAUUGACGGAA